UUGUCUUGUGUGUUCAUUCCUUUGUUUAGGAAACACGCGGACCCCAACAAAAACACACUUAUCUUAUGAAUGUUCUAUUAUCUUCCCAGUCCUAUGAUUCAGUGAACUUCUGCUCUGAUUUUAGGGACCUGGACUUCAUUCAAAGACCUGCCGGUGAAAUCCUUCAGAUCCUGGCUGUUCCAUGCCUCUUCACACCAACAGUUUCAUGAAGAGUAUAGCUGUGAUGAAUGGACCAACCAUUUUUUCCGUCAUGAACCAACAAGCACGAGGACAGAAGCGUAGCCCACUAAGAAUUAUAGAACUCAACGUGAGAGAAAGCAAGUGUCUCUGAUGAUGUUGUUGGACUGGAUUCCCUACCUCCAGGUACUUGUUAGGUGCACUCUGUAUGGAUUGAUGACCAAUUUCAUGGAAAAAAAAUAAGGAAG